AUGCGGUCGCAUAGUUCAAAUUAUUUGGGCUCUUUGAACCCCUGAAGCCUUCUAUGCGACCGCAUAGAAGGUUACACUAUGCGGUCGCAUAGAAGUAACCAUCUAUGUGGUUUGUUCAAUUUGGUCCCUGAACUUCUUUGUUGCUUCUCUUGACUUCUUUCUUCGAUUUCUUCAUCUUUUCAACAAAUUUUAUCUUCCAAUUGAUGAUUGAUACCAUCAAUUCUCAUGCCCCUCAUUCGGCACAUCUUUUGAGUAUUUGCGCUUUAGUCCUCCAACUUUCAAUUGUCUUCAUUUCAGUCCCUCUUCAAUAUUUUCUUCUUCCAUUUGUUUUGAUUUAUCAUUGAGCUCAUACUUGGCAUGUUUU
rnacentral:lncRNA from 1 species